GCUCUCUUGGCUUAGUGGUAAAGCGCAUCACUAGUACCAUUAGCGAUGAUGAGAUCACUGGUUCGAUUCCAGUAGAGAGCA